rnacentral:lncRNA from 1 species
UAAAUUAAACACGGCCGUAUUUAUUUUAUGCAAAAGAACUAAUCUGACAGACAAACCAAAAAAAAUAAAUUUCACCAUUUUUGUCUUUUCAUAAACUAUUUUACUGACAAUAAAUUAGAGAUCUAACAUGUUGCAUUAACGUAAAUUAGAGAUCUAACAUGUUGCAUUAACGUUAAUGCAUUGGCUAUUUCCUGAUACAACAUCAAAGCACUACAAACAACAAACACAACAUACAAUCUGAUCAGAAAUUUGGCACUGCAACCAUUAAAUACAAG